rnacentral:lncRNA from 1 species
CGGGACCCCCAGGAGGGGGUCGCGCCCGCCGCAGUCCCGGCGGACCCCCAGGAGGGGGUCGCGCCCGUCGUAGUUCCUGCCGACCUCCAGGAGGGGGUCGCGCCCGCCGUAGUUCCUGCCGACCUCCAGGAGGGGGUCGCUCCCGCCGUAGUUCCUGCCGACCUCCAGGAGGGGGUCGCUCCCGUCGUAGUUCCUGCCGACUCAGGAGGGGGUCGCUCCCGUCGUAGUUGCCGACCUCCAGGAGGGGGUCGCGCCCGCCGUAGUUCCUGCCGACCUCCAGGAGGGGGUCGCUCCCGCCGUAGUUCCUGCCGACCUCCAGGAGGGGGUCGCUCCCGUCGUAGUUCCUGCCGACCUCCAGGAGGGGGUCGCUCCCGUCGUAGUUCCUGCCGACCUCCAGGAGGGGGUCGCUCCCGUCGUAGUUCCUGCCGACCUCCAGGAGGGGGUCGCUCCCGUCGUAGUUCCUGCCGACCUCCAGGAGGGGGUCGCUCCCGUCGUAGUUCCUGCCGACCUCCAGGAGGGGGUCGCCCCGUCGUAGUUCCUGCCGACCUCCAGGAGGGGGUCGCUCCCGUCGUAGUUCCUGCCGACCUCCAGGAGGGGGUCGCUCCCGCCGUAGCUCCUGCCGACCUCCAGGAGGGGGUCGCUCCCGUCCCGGCUCCGGCCGCAUCUGCAUCGGUUCCUGGCGGUCCGGCUCCGGUCGCAUCUGCAUCGGUCCCUGGCGGUCCGGCUCCGGCCGCAUCUGCUUCGGUUCCUGCCUCUCGUCGCGGUGGUCCAAGGAGGACGCCGCUGGUUCACGUCUCUCGUCGCGGUGGUCCAAGGAGGACGCCGCUGGUUCCUGCCUCGUCUCUGCCUUUGCUGCCGGACUGGUGGCCUCGCCCUCGGCGCAUCCUGCUGCUGGGAUGGCGCUGCUCCUGCGGCGCCGUCCGCCUCGACUCCUCAACCGCCUGGAUCAGCGUCCGCCUGGUGGACGCUGCCAUGCGGGGUGGUCCCCGGGGACAUCGCCCCAGCUCAAGGGCACUAAGAGUGCCAUCCUGGCUCAGCGGCUGCUGA